AGCACUCUGGACUACCAUGGACCAUAUUGCUCCAGGUUCUGUUUGGCUGAGGGGAGGAGCAGUCCAGCUGUUUCACCUGCCAAAUCCACAUCUGGCUGCUGUUCCUUCUAACUGGGCUCAAGCUGCCCAGGGAACAAAUACUGUCGGAAUCACCUAGCUCCUCUGGAUCCAGCAGGGCAAUGAGUCGCACAGAGCCAGAGAGCAGGCAAGGGUUUGCGACUUACAGGACGAGCAGAAGAGAUUGGAGGCCUCCCAGUUACCAGUGCUUGUUGAUAUUUGAAGUGAUUAUUUUUAAAUGAAAGC
rnacentral:lncRNA from 1 species